rnacentral:rRNA from 1 species
AAUGGCUCAUUAAAACAGUUAUAAUUUAUUUGAUGAUUUUUUUACAUAGAUAACCGUGGGAAACUGGGGCUAAUACAUGCGUAAAGGUCGAAAGGCUGUAUUUAUUAGUUUCAAAUCAAUAUAACCUAGUUAUUUUGUGAGGAAUCAUAAUAACUUAACGGAGCGCAGCGAUGCGCCGCAUCAUUCAAGUUUCUGCCCUAUCAGCUUUGGAUGGUAGUGUAUUGGACUACCAUGGCUAUAACGGGUAACGGGGAAUUGGGGUUCGAUUCCGGAGAAGGAGCCUGAGAAACGGCUACUAUUUCUAAGGAAGGCAGCAGGCGCGUAAAUUACCCAAUCCUGACUCAGGGAGGUAGUUAAUAGAAAUAACACGUUCGGCUCAUUGAGACUUGAAUUUGUAAUGAACCAAAUUUAGAUCACUUGGUGAAUCCUAUUGGAGGGCAAGUCUGGUGCCAGCAGCCGCGGUAAUUCCAGCUCCAAUAGCGUAUAUUAAAGUUGUUGCAGUUAAAAAGCUCGUAGUUGAAUUUCCGGCUGAUUUCAGCCUGUCUGUAAGGGUGUCGGAUACCGUAAAAAGUUUCUGGCUCACGAACAGACUUUUACUGUGAAAAAAUUAGAGUGCUUAAAGCAGGCUUUUGCUUGAAUAUUUCAGCAUGGAAUAAUGAAAGACGACUUCAGUCAUUUUAUUGGUUAUUGACAGAAGUAAUGAUUAACNGAAACAGUUGGGGGCAUUCGUAUUUGAUAGUCAGAGG